AGGGAAGGUUUAAUUUGUGUUAUCAAUAAAAUAAUAAAAGGGUGCAACCACCUGUACGCCUUCAUUUUCAAGGGAGGGGAAGGGAGUCGUCGCAGAUAACGAUUGUACGUGGUCGUACAUAAUAAUAUUAUGCCGAGUGAAAUUGCCCAUUAUGUUUGGGUAAACGAUGCAGCGGCUCACCUAUAGGUAUAAAAUACGUAUAUA